CAGUCGCCACGGGAAUACAGAGGGUGCGAGCGUUAAUCGGAUUUACUGGGCGUAAAGCGUGCGUAGGCGGCUUCUUAAGUCGGAUGUGAAAUCCCUGAGCUUAACUUAGGAAUUGCAUUCGAUACUGGGAAGCUAGAGUAUGGGAGAGGAUGGUAGAAUUCCAGGCGUAGCGGUGAAAUGCGUAGAGAUCUGGAGGAAUACCGAUGGCGAAGGCAGCCAUCUGGCCUAAUACUGACGCUGAGGUACGAAAGCAUGGGGAGCAAACAGGAUUAGAUACCCGGGUAGUCCCUGUCUCUUAUAA
rnacentral:rRNA from 1 species